GUGCAGGCCGCCAAAAAUCAACGGCACGCCUUCGAUUAUAAAGCCGUUUUUCUUUGUUGUCGAAAAUCAAAACGUGUUAGUUUGUAAUUCUCACGAAUCUUGGAGCGAUACCAAAUUCAACUACUUUAAGACAUUGGCUCGAAUUUUGUUUGUGCCUUCAGGUUUCGAGGAAAGGAACAAACUAAGAAAUAAUUGUUAACUUCUCAAACCAAAGGCCCGGAAACUCUGUGCGUAAAUGUUACAUUCUGGCGCAUACCGCUUUUUACUAGCUAGCUGACGGAUGUUUUCAGACAUAUUUUUCAAAAGAUAUGGGAAGUCUUUUUUUUGUCUUGAAUUUCAUUCAAACGUAAUGGAGGCCAAGGGAUUUGCAGUAGUUCACCACCAGUAAAGGUACAGCGUUAACUAGCCUUUCAGGUUAGUACAACUAACUAGUUAGCGCAGCUGCAAACCGUAGUAGCCUAACCUAGCUUGUUAGCUAGCGAAAGAACAUGUGACUAGGUAGAUAGCAAAUGUUCGCUGGAUCUCCAAAUACGAUCUAGGCGUUUGCAGCCACUUAGCUAACUUAUAUUGGGCAAAUGAUAAUAGCUAGUUAUCAAGUUAGCUUGCUCACAUCAGUUUUAUGGUCCAUGUUUUAAUUGAUGCAAAAUGGACGUUAAGCAAGAGGAAAAUGAGCGGGAGCUAUCCCAAACAAUAAUUUGGUCUGAUUCGAUUAAUGCCUGGAUAGAUUACCCAAGUUCUCUAUUGUCAAAAAACACAGAAACAGGUUCCCAUGUGGGUUUACUGAAAGAGCGUACAUGUGUACCUACCGUAAGUCCCCAAACAACAAGUCGAGGGCAGAUUUUACGUAUUUUUCCUGAAAUGACCGGAGCAAGUGAUGGGGAGAACAGGGGUGUCAAAAUUGUUUAUUUCUGCAAAGACCAAGAUACCAUCAGCACAUCUGAAAGGCAUUCGAUCAAAGAGGAGUCAGGACAUGUAUCAACCCUCAGUGAUUCUUUUGAAGCUCAAAUCAACCCAAAGUCACAGGGUUUUAGCCGAAAACAGACCCGGACCAAUAAUGAAUUGCCUGUAGACAAUGUUAAUAUCCAAGGCCAUAGUACUGCCAUUACUUCUGUGCUGACCUCACCUGCUAUAGAAAGUGGCUAUAAUUUAUCUGUAUCUAAUAUUAUUCCAGAAUAUUGUGAGCCAUUGAACUUUCCCUCAGAUGAAGAAGAAGACUACAAUACCAAUUUAAGACGAAGAUUGCAAUGCCAAAAAACGGUUGAGGAUAAAUAUCUAUGGCAGUGCCGUGGCUGUUACUCAAAACCUAACCCCAAAAGAUUUGGGAAAUAUUUGAAAGAUCCAUAUGCUAAGUGCAAGGAAAUAGGAAUAGAUUUCCAUGUUAGAUCUGGAGCGAGACAGAAACUUGAUUUGCAUUUACUGACAAUUGGUGUAAUGAUCGAAGUGUCUGAAUAUGUUAAAAACAUUAAUAGAUCUAACAAGCAUGUUAUCUUUGAUAUUCUAGAUUACAACUUUGAUCUUGGUGUGCAAAAUGAAGUACGAGGUUACUUUUCAAACAAGAUAGAAAGAAAAUUAAAUGACAUGCUGAAGAUGUAUACCAAGAGGAGAAAUCCUGAGUGGUUAAAAGAAGUGUUUGAACUUCCUGAUUCAAAGACAAUGAACGCAUGGGGAAAAUCUCGGUUUGCACGGUCCAAUUUGAAUAACAGCGUGUCAGAAAAUCCUACACCUUUUGACAUCUGCAUAAAGGAGAAGCCUGUUGUGGACCUGAUAGCUCCUCUGCAUGUGACGACUGAGAACCUCUCUACUCAGACAGAUGUAACACGAUGUGCUGAGACAGCAAUCCUUGACCCUGAAAAUGGACCUAAUGAUAUCUGCACAAGGGAUAAGUCAGAUCUGGGCGUCAUCCAUCAUGUCAAGACGGAGACUGUCAGCACUCAGACAGACAUGACAAUGGACCAAUCCUUCAUGAUGCCCACAGUAGAAGAAGCAUUGAGUGAACUCUACCCAAUCUGUAAGGAAAAAGGACUUGACCUUGAUGUGAAAUCAACAUUUGGGAAAAAGGAGAAACUUGACUUGCGUCUAUUGACCAGAGAGGUAAUGAUUGAAUUGGCUGAUUUUACCUCACAAAUGUGUGGAAAUUGGAAGCAGAUGGUCUGUGAUGUUGUUGAGCAUAAUUUUGAUCUGGAUUUAAAAAGUGGGAAAACUGACCUGGCUGAAGAUAUCAUUAAUAGGUUAAGAGCAGCUUUGCAGCCCAAUGUAAAUUUAAAAUUACAUGAUCACCGACUGAGAUGUGAAUUAGAAAAGGAAUACUUUUUCUUGAAGAAUUCGUGCAAACUCAAGAAUGAUACAGAGAUGUCCAGUAACCAGGUAACUACAGCAUCAUUUGAGCCGAAUGAUCAAAUGAAAGAAGUGUCGAAAAGGAGGAGAUUGGAUUUAAUGAAAAAGGAAAAAGAAAUGGACACGUGCGUAGCCAGGGAGACGGAGGGAGUCCGUUUCGAAGUCAGACCAGUAGAAUCUCAUUGUGUCAAGAAGGAGAGAAUCUCUGAUGAGACUGACCUUGCACUUUGUAUUGAUGAAACAAAGCAAAUUGUUGUUACCAACUUGGACCAAUCAAAUGUGACGUCUAACACCAAAAAAGUUGUCAACGCGUGCUACACACGCUGUGAGGAAAUAGGUCUGGACCUUGAUGUUGCAUUCAAACCCUCUAAAAAGAAACUGGAAUUUCAGUUACUGACAAACGGUGUAGUAUUUGAGGUGUAUAAAUAUGCUAAAAUAAAACCCUAUCCCCUAAAAGCAGAAGGAUGGGGGCAUAUUCUCUAUGCUAUUCUAGAAUACAAUUUUGACCUUAGUUUGCAAAAUCAGAGACGAAGUCAAUUUCAAUUUUGGAUUUAUCGUAAAGUGAAAAGAAUGGUUAAAAAACACAGACUUCAACUCACAAGAAGGGACAAACUCUCAAAAGAAUUGUUUGUAAUACCAAAUGUGAUUCAAACCAAAGCAAAAAAAACAGUGCUUUAAGAUUAUUUCCCCGGAAAAAUGUAUGGAACAAGAUGAACAAAAACGAGUUUAUCUUCAUCAUGUUAGACACUAUCGCCAUGGAGACGAUUUGAAACAAUCUCCACUGAUGAAGCAGCAAUGCUUGGCCAGGAUAAAAUGGACCAGACCUUCACUCUGAGAUCAAAGUGGUUUAUUUCUGUGAAGACCAAGAUACCGUCAGAACAUCUGAAGAGCACUUGAUCAUGGCAUGGAUCAACACCCAGUAAUAUUCGGGAAAAAAAUGUAUUCAGCCUCCCACAAGUCACCACUACCGACUGCAGAAAGGAGUUCUUUUGAAAGUCAAAUCAACCCAACUUCACAGAUGUUUUUUAAAAUAUUUUUAUUUCACCUUUAUUUAACCAGGUAGGCAAGUUGAACAAGUUACGUUAUGUAACAAGUUAUGUAACCAGAAGGUCACUACAGCUUCACUUGAGCCAAAGACUGAAAGGAGUAACAGAAAAGAGGAGAUUUAAUGAGGAAAAAUAAAUAAGUUGAUAUGUUUUAUAGCCACGAAGACCAAUGACAUGUAAUGCUAUGAAGUCAGACAAGUAGAACCUCAUUGUGACGAGACAGAGAGCAUCUCUGAUGUUUCAUCCCAGUAGAACCUCAUUGUGACGAGACAGAGAGCAUCUCUGUUGUUUCAUCCCAGUAGAACCUCAUUGUGACGAGACAGAGAGCAUCUCUGUUGUUUCAUCCCAGUAGAACCUCAUUGUGAUGAGUCACAGAGCAUCUCUGGUGUCAGAGGAAGGUCUUAAAAAUUGUCAGACUGUUCUGUCUGCUACCGCACAGCAAGCGGUACCGGAGCGCCAAGUCUGGGACCAAAAGGCUCCUUAACAGCUUCUACCCCCAAGUGAUAAGACUGUUAAACAGUUAAUCAAAUGGCUACCCGGACUAUUUGCAUUGCCCCCCUUUUUUAUGCUGUUGCUACUCGCUGUUUAUAAUCUAUGCGUAGUCAGUUUACCCCUACCUACAUGUACAUAUUACCUCAAUUUACACGACUAACCUGUACACCCGCACAUUGAUUCUGCACCGGUACCCCUUGUAUAUAGUCUCCUUAAUGGUAUUUUAUUGUAUUACUUUUUUAUCUUGCUUUAGUUAUGUUUUUUAAAUAGCAAAUAUUUUCUUAAUUAAUAAAAAAAAUCUGCAUUGUUAGUUAAGAGCUUGUCAGAAAGCAUUUCGCAGUAAGGUCUACACCUGUUGUAUUCGGCGCGUGUGACAAAUAAAAUUGUAUUUGAUUUAACUUAAUCUCCUCUCGGCCAGGAAAUAGAAUGGAGAAAAAUAUUACCGUGACCAGGAAAAGGAGUCUGAUGCAGAUAGAUUAAAGUCAUUGUAAUAUGUUAGGUUGAUUCUUGCCAAACUUUUUAAAUAUUUUGUAGUCGAGACUGGUUCUGAUAAGAAAUUCAAACAAAUCCCAGAAUUACAGAUCAGAUAUCCUAGGGUUUGUGGGUAUUAGAAAAUAUGCAAAACGUCAAGUGCUGUCAGUGUUGCAUUUGUAACCUUUGACAUGUUCAAGAAAACUCGCUCUUUGGAAUGCCUCUGGACAAUGGACAGUGAAAAAGACUUGUGUUGAAAUCAGGGCAGAGAGAACAGGGUUGUAGUCAAAAAGAAGAAGGGCUGUUGAGCAGGUGUGGUAGAGAGAAACACUAAAGCAGUGGAGCUAAAGUCUGGACAGGAUGUAGUCUAACGGUGGAAAAAAUUACACAAACUGGUUGAUGCACACAUUACAAUGACAACAGUUGCAACAAGCUUACUCUGAAUUGACCCAAAGACCAUACUUAGAAUGGUUCCUAAUGGAAGACUAAUUUCCUGUCUCCCUGAAGUCAAUAGACUCACAUUCUAUACCUCACAGAGUCAACAAGCCUACCAGAGAUUCAACUCCAUUGUAUUCAUUAGGAAUACUGUAGCAAAACGUGCAAAUGGUGUACCAAUUAACCUAGUCUUUUUAGUAUUCAGUGAAAUAAUGGGAAAUGUAUGUAUGUAUAUAUGUAUAUGUGUUUGACUUAUUUGGAUUAAGGGUUUAGACUUUGAUUUGUGGAUUGUGUAGAUUCCCUUGGCCUCCUGUUAACACUUGAUGCCUGGUCUUGCUGUAAAGAGACUGAAUACAGCAUGAUUAUUGCUACACUUCAUUUGUUUUCAGCGUUGAACGACGUUUCAAUUGACAAGCCAAACUCCACUACCUUUACAAGCCUCAAUAGAAGAACCUCUGAUCUUCUUUGUUAGAUAUAAGAAGGUAAACAAGGAUAUAUAUAUUUUUUUAAAUAAGACUUGCGUUGGUGAAAGAACCUACUAUGAUGGAGCAUGUUUUUCUUUUAGAAAAUAUAUUUGGAACUUUUCCGGGGUUUUUUCUAGCAAGAUUAAGAGACCGUACAUCAAGACUUGCUUUACUGAAACCAGUACUUCCUGUUUUGAACAUGAAGUUAUUCUACCAUCAACUGUGAAGUGGAAGUGUUUUGUUUGUUUUGAAGAGGACACUUUCACUAACGUUCUUAGCUGUUUCUCGGGACACCUGUGAGCCUCGGAUAAAAAGGUGAUGUGUGUUUGCAGUCUUAUCCCUUUUCUACUGUUUCAACUCUUCACAAAUGAAAACAUCUAAUCGCCAAAGGUUGACGCCAAUAAAGUCUCUCUGCUGGUGACGACGAGGUGGCCUCUACUAGUGAAGACGAGGUGGCCUCUCUACUAGUGAUGACGAGGUGGACUCUCUACUAGUGAUGACGAGGUGGACUCUCUACUAGUGAUGACGAGUCGGACUCUCUACUAGUGAUGACGAGGUGGACUCUCUACUGGUGAAGACGAGGUGGCCUCUCUACUAGUGAUGACGAGGUGGACUCUCUGCUGGUGAAGACGAGGUGGCCUCUCUACUAGUGAUGACGAGGUGGACUCUCUGCUGGUGAAGACGAGGUGGCCUCUCUACUAGUGACGACGAGGUGGCCUCUCUGCUGGUGACGACGAGGUGGCCUCUCUGCUGGUGACGACGAGGUGGCCUCUCUGCUGGUGACGACGAGGUGGACUCUCUACUGGUGAGUUCCUGACAUUUUGUGGGUGGAGGUUUUUCAUGUUCACUGUAGACUUCUAUCAACAUGGACCGACUAGGGAGAAUAACUGCAUCUACACAACUGUCUUCCUUAACUAGCUGCUUUUAGCAACGCUAGAAUUUUAUGUGCACGCUAGCAUUGCUGGGAAUUAUUUAGCAAAAAACCUGAAUAGUCCGCCGGAAUUCCACAAGUUAAAUAAAAUUAAGUUUCAAUUUAUUCUGUCGAUUGUCUGUAGUCUUGGUCCUUAUGCAAGGGGGGAUGGGGGGGGGGGGAAUUUAACGUAGAAUUAAACCGAAUUUUCAAACGUGGGUUUGAAUUUUAUUUAGCUUCCGGCGGACUAUUACGUUUUUUUUGCAAACUAAUUCCUAAAUACUUACUAAAAUCAGCUACUGUAAAACAUUUUCAUGAGGCACUUAUUUUUUGUCCUUCUCUAAAUGUAACCUUUAUUUUACCAGGGCGGGUCAAUUAAGAACAAAUGAUUGUGUACAAUGACGGACUGGUAAGAGGUAGAAGGCCUCCAGUGGGACAGGAAGUGGUUGAUUUUAAAUCAGUUUUCCUUUUGAUAUUGUUUAUUUUAACACAGAUUUAGCAGAUUUUCAGGCUAACUACCAAGCCAGACACAGAACUAUUAAUAGUAAUAAUAAUACAAAUGUAUUUAUAAAUACAUUUCCCAUGCUCAAUAAGCAUGUUAUUUGUCUUUCCAUUUGUGUCUCAACUUAAGAUACCAUAUAGUUGGGCUGAAUGGUUCUGUCUUCAUCCAGGUGUCUAACAGUACCUGAAAGGAAUCACAAUCCUCAAACACAUCAAAACACUUCUCGGGCAGACUUGAAAAUCCAGGCUAGCAUUCACUUGUCAUAAAGAAGACCUUGUUGUCAUAGAGAUGGCCUUGUUGUCAUAGAGAUGGCCUUGUUGUCAUAGAGAUGGCCUUGUUGUCAUAGAGAUGGCCUUGUUGUCAGGAUUUCCAUACAAGGUUUUUUCACUCAUUGUGAAUUUGUACCAAAACAAUUAAUUCCUUUAUAUCCUUCAGGUGACAAAUUAAAUCAUUAUUUUAAUCACAAGUGUCUUUUUUGUUGUUUUGUUACCUCCAGAAACUUGAUUGCCACUGUGGAUGUAUAAUUUGUCUCCUCAUUUUAUUGACAGAUCCUCUAUUUCCAUACAAGAUGGACAUGAAGUCUGUCUCCAUCUUCAACCUGUGGAUUUGCUCUGAGGAUGUUGGACACCACCGUUGCACCUUCAGCCACACUAAUUUCCUGUCAGACUGGUUGUCUUUGAACUCCAUGCCAUGGACUGACUAAUCUGAACAUUUACUACAACAGGAAUACAAAUGUUCAUCAGACUCACCACACACGGUGGACAGACUACUCUCUAACUGGUUGUGAGGUUACAGGAAAUAGACUGAUCUGUUAUGAGGGACUGCCAGGUUGUGUAACAGAAUAAUACAGCCAGCUCAUCUUCAUUUCUCUUCUGUUAGGCCUUCUGACAUGUUGGUCUCUGUUGUUGGAACUGUCAGUCUUUGUUCUGGGCUUCAGUUUUCAUCAUGGUGGAUGCAGAAUUGUAAUCCUGAUUAGAUUAUGGUUAUAAAGACUUCAGGAUGUAGCCAGUACAUUGAAGUCCACUCUCUAGAUAAUAUAAAAGUCCUGGGAGAGGGACCGUGCUUCCAGGAGAAGGAUAACAGGACCUUGUCCAGAGACAACCCCCAGCCCUUAACCUCCAAGGGACUUGUGUACAGGGAGUUUAAUACAGAGAAUGUAAUACAAUAUUUGAUACGAUCAGGGAAUUUGACAUACAGUAUGGAUUACGUUUUGAAAAUUCAAUGAUCAUUACAUUUAUUUUUUUGUCAUUUUUUCCCCCCACAUUUUAUUGCACUGUAAGUGUUUGGCAGUUCUCAUGGAAACGUGGAAUUUUUUAACGUGUCUUAAGAGUGGAAACCCUAGAAAUGUACCCUCUGAUAGGCUAGAUCGAAUAAUUUCAGAUCUGUGAACAUUUCGUCUUUCAGAGGGCAUGUUUUACCUGAUUAUACCACAGUCUUUGAGUUUUACAUGAAUUCUAGUCUUAUCAACAAAAAAACACCACAUCCGGAAUGGGCGCCAGAUUUGUUUUGGGAAAAACGUUUUAAUUUUGUAAAAUAAAAAAUCCUGUAAUUCUACACAUUUUGCCAUGUUUUUAUGACGUGUUCAAAGUCUGAUUUGUAUUGUAUUCUUUGGGUUGGGGGGCCCCCUGGAGGUCAGGCAAGCGCCCUGCAUGUCCGGUCAGUAAUCCUGCUCUACUCCUGUGUCGGGUUCACAAACUUUUUCUGCAAACAAUUCCAAAUUGACACUAGAAAAUGGAGGGGACCCUACUUGGAGAAAUUAUAAUCCCAAAUUAACACUUCAGAUUCACAGCUUUAGGUACCUCAGGCUGUCCCAACAACAAUAAUGAUAUGAAAAAGCGCAUUCCAAUAGUGUAAAAAAGCAUUAAGGUCCCGAUUCAAUCAGAUCCGCACGUCGUCGGAGCUGUCAAAUCCACAAGUGCUGCACGGAGUUGCAUUAGCGUAUAUGCACCUAAAUAUUUUUGCUCUGCGACCUGGAAUUUUAAUUUUACGAGAAGAAGAAAAAAAAAUCGCCCAGAUAAUUGUUGCAAUGGUUCCUUCACUACGGAAGCCCCUAAAUGUGGGGGACACACUGAGCACAGGUUCAUGACCGUCAUACUUGCACCAUUACUACAAAGAAAACGGCUUGUUAUCAACAACAACCACAAAAUUGUGCUCCUACUUUUUCCCUUGUAAAAAAAAAAGGUAGAGGACUGCCUUGUUUACGUGUUCAAACACUGGAAUGUGAGAUGUAAUCCUAUACCCUGAUUAAAAUGAUAGAACACCUAAUUCUUUAAUGGUUUUUCAAUCUGAGUGUAAUUAUU
rnacentral:lncRNA from 1 species